AGAACGAACGCUGGCGGCAUGCCUAACACAUGCAAGUCGAACGCUCAUCCGGCUUCGGCCGGAUGGGAGUGGCGCACGGGUGAGUAGCGCGUGGGAACCUGCCCUGUUGUGGGGGAUAACCGAGGGAAACUUCGGCUAAUACCGCAUGCGCCCCGGCGAAAGCCGGGGGAAAGAUUUAUCGCAGCAGGAGGGGCCCGCGUCGGAUUAGGUAGUUGGUGGGGUAACGGCCCACCAAGCCGAUGAUCCGUAGCUGGUCUGAGAGGAUGAUCAGCCACACUGGGACUGAGACACGGCCCAGACUCCUACGGGAGGCAGCAGUGGGGAAUAUUGGACAAUGGGGGCAACCCUGAUCCAGCAAUGCCGCGUGAGUGAUGAAGGCCUUAGGGUUGUAAAGCUCUUUCGCCCGCGACGAUGAUGACGGUAGCGGGAGAAGAAGCCCGGCUAACUUCGUGCCAGCAGCCGC
rnacentral:rRNA from 1 species